CCCGUUCGUUCUCCGUUCCGCUACUCACCGAUUUAUAUCUCUCGGCUCCUCCAUUCCUCGCCCCUCCUCCUCCUCUCUAAUUCCAGUCAAUUCCCAAUCCUGGAGACUGAGCGGCACAAAAGGAAUGGCACGGUAAGUGGAUUCCAUCUCAGAUCUCCUCUUCUCCUCCUUGCAGCUACCGAGUGAUCUCUGGACGCAGCGGUUUAUCGAUCUCUUCCUGGCCUUGUUGGUCCCUCUUUCAUGGUGGAUUAGAUCGAUUGCUCCUUUCUGUUUGAGGUUACAAAGCGGGAAUCGGUCGAUAAACCUCUGCAUCCGGACUUCAGUGUACAUCCAUCCAUCAGACCUCUCGUUCCCUCACUUCGCUUUGGUUUUUCCCUUAAAUUUCUGAGAUAGAUGAUUGGGGACUAAGGAAGUAGUUCGAGUGAGCUGUUAGCGCUGUUUGAUGUGAUCCAUUUGAUGCAGAUCGUGAUUGAUUUUUGCAGAUAUGAUGAAGUGAAAGCCAAGCCAUGAGACUGAUUGUGGACCACUUCUACAGCAUUUUAUGUUGUACUACUUCAAUACUUGUUCGACUGUUCGAUGCAGUGGAUUGAUUUCUUAGCAGUGAUUACGGGUCCUCCCUGAAACAGUCAUUUGUUCUGUGACAUCAAUGCAGCAGACAUGUUAAAAGGGAAGAGACUCAGGGAUGAAAGAGGCGAUGCAUCCCAGACGCUAUUAAUGGUUGUCCUCAUCUAGCUUUAGCUGGUCUAUUAGACGUAAGUUAUCUGAAAGAAAUCUGAUCCGCUAUCAUCCCUUGUCAAGAAGGGUGAGAAGACCGUCAAACGUUUAUUGUAUAUUUAUUUACCUCGGCCUAAUGCUGGGCUCAAACCCAACUCCUUUGUGAGCAGAACGAAUCGGGCUCAAACAACUAACUACAGUAUGUUAAUGUGACGCUACAUGAGUUGGGCUAAAGCUUCGCACGUUGCGGAUCAAAGCUAUGCCUUUGUGUCGUCCGGGGCCAGCGGCGGAGGUUGCCGCGGGUGAGGAGCUCCCUGUCGUCUUGGGUGGUGAUGUCAGACAUGACGAUGACUCCGUGGAUUACACCACCACGAUAAAUUUGAUUUAAUCCCUUUCGCCCCGUUGAUGCUCUUUGAUUGAUUCCAGUGGCUUAUCUUAUGGUGGAGCAGUUUCCGAACAAGCUGGUAGAGUAUUGUCUCCGCAAGUAGCGGUCUCCACUUCACCGACUAGUGACUGCAUGAUACGGCCCCUCUUUGCGAAUGGCCGAUGGACGCCUCUCCGGAUGGAUGGAAGUACGUUGCAACGCCGAGACUCUCUCACCAUAAACAUACGUACCUCAUAAGACCAGGAAGUCAAGAUUCUACGCUCCUAAAAUAAUCAUCAACGUGAUGACAGCGGGCAAGCAUUAUUGAGGUUGUCUCUGAAUCACCCUAUGGACGAACAUAGGGUUCGGAUCAUUCGGCUUCAUCUCAUCCCCUACCUCUCUCAAAAAUGACUUGGAACUGCACCUCCUAAACUGGAAGUCGGGGGUGGCAUCACGGCACCAUCCAAAGUGACCUAGAAACACUCAUCAUAUCUACCUCUCUUUGGACCAACACUCGUAUCUAUCUCUGUCUCUCUUGUUUAGAGAAAUCAUAUCUUUAGUCAAAAUAUCAUGUCUCUUUUAAUUUAUAAUCAUAUAUAUAUAUAUAUAUAUAUAAAAGCAUAAAAUCUGUAAUAUAUUAUAUUAUAGUUUUUGAGUGAAUCGUAAGAUGAUGGACACAAAUGUGGUGUCACUAUAACUAUUGAGACCGAGAUUUAGCAGACGAUUUGGUAUCAUCCGCAGCACUCCAUGCUCUGUGCUUUGCUAAUGGAGGAACUCAGGUACGACUCUUCCUUGUGAUGCUGAAUGCAGCUCGACUUGGGCCUGACCCGAUGAAUCUGAGCUCCUCUCUCAUCCAUGAACCAAAGGGCGGGCAUCAGUGCCGGGAGAAGGAGAUCUUCUCGGUCAACCUGGAAAGCAGAGGACUGCAAGUUCCGUGCCCUUGUCAUGGUAUCUCCACCACCCUUUUGGGCACAUCACAUCAACCAUUCUCCACCGUUGGCAUGUCCCUUCCCUUCUCCCCCACGCUAUAAAUGGGGGAAGCCCGGCGCUCCUCACUCUCAGCCAAAGGGCGAGGAGAAAGAGAGAGACAGACGCACGCAGAAAUGGGAGGAGGUCAGUCGUCUUCCAGGUCUUCUUCCUGCUUCUUCUUAUUCAGGUCGCAUGGCAGAGACGAAGAAGCUGAUGGCGAGCCGAAGUACACGUCGAGGAAGGUCCGGCCGAGCGACGAGGACCGAGGCCGCUGGGUUGGCGAGCCGGACGUGGAUGUGAAGGCUUCCGCCUUCAUUGCCAAGUUCCAUGAGACUCGUUUCAUGGACCUCGAAAGGCAAACCAUGGUGGUGUGAUGUGUGAUUCACUUCAGCUUCCUCAUCAUAGUACAAUACCUAUGCUCUCUCUCUCUCUCUCUCUCUCUCUCUCUCUAUCUUCCUUGUAGUUUGCUUGAUGUUGCAAAGUGUGUAGGCUGUAAUGAUUGAUUAGGAGAAUAAAACCGUAAUUAUAUUAA